AUUAGGGAGUCUAGCAAUGCAUUUGUGGUUGUCUCAAAUGCAAUAUGAAGCCAUGAUGAGUCAUAUGCAAUUGUGGCACAUACAGAGAACCUUCAUGGAGCUCACUCUUUACUUGCUAUAGUCUUGGUUCUUCUCAAAGUUUCCAGUCACAUAGAACCAGCUUUUCAUCAUACAGGCUUCUCUAGUAUGCUGGAAUCAGAUUGCAGGGCAAAUGUAGUUAGUACUUUUGAUGUGUUUUU